GACUAAAUAGUUUAAUUAGAACCAAUGAUUGCAAGUCAUUUAGUGUGUGAAAGCUUUAGUUU
rnacentral:tRNA from 1 species